UCCUCAGCAGAGACCAGACCUGCCCUUUGCCUUUCAGCCCUGCAUCCGGCGAGUGUUCUCCACACCUCGGUGGAACAGGAAAGAAUCAAGCAUGCCAGAACCAAGGUCACCACUGUCUGGUUCCCCCUACACCAAGCUCAGGUGUCAUUUAAAGCCCCAUGGAACUUUGAAGAGCCCUGCACCACCUGUUUUACGGCUUCCCUCUUGGCUCGGUGGUAAGGGAUCUGCCUACAAUGCAGGAGACAUGGAUUUGAUCCCUGGGUGGAAGAUCACCUGGAGAAGGAAAUGGCAAUCGAUUCCAGUAUUCUUGCCUGGAAAAUCCCAUGAACAGAGGAGCCUGGCAGGCCACAGUCCAUGGAGUUGUAGUCAGAUGAGUGACUAAAUUGAAUGACUAAACAACAGCACCUGUUUUAAUGUGUACAUGUUGAUCUGAACCAGCUAAUUACUCCCUGCCCCCAGCCACAUUUCUUUUUUGGUAAACAUCAAUUUCUUAAUCUGUGAACCUGUUUCUCUUUUGUAAUAAAGUUCAUUGGUAUCCA